AUCCUUGCGCUUGGGGCAAUGACGCAGCUAAUGAGGUUAUACCGAGGCGCGUCAAUUGCUGGUUGAAAACUACUCCCUCCGUUCCGAAUUACUCCUAGUGUAAACUAAUAUAAGAGUGUUUAGAUUACUAAAGUAGUGAUCUAAACACUCUUAUAUUAGUUUACGGAGGGGGUACUUGUUU
rnacentral:snRNA from 1 species